UUUUUUUUUUUUGUCCUUUUGCCUUUUCUAGGGCCGCUUCCACGGCAUAUGGAGGUUCCCAGGCUAGGGGGCUAAUCAGAGCUGUAGAUGCCAGCCUAUGCCAGAGCCACAGCAAGGCAGGAUCCGAGCCACCUCUGCGACCUACAUCACAGCUCAGGGCAAUGCUGGAUCCUUAACCCACUGAGCAAGGCCAGGGAUCGAACCCGCAACCUCAUGGUUCCUUGUUGGGUUUGUUAACCACUGCCCCACGACGGGAACUCCAGCAAAGUUAAGUUUUAUUUGGGGUGAAACUGAAACUGACAGUAUUAACGGCCUGAACCUAGCCAGAACACAGAUUGGGACUUGAACCCAGAGUAAUUCCAGAUGGGGACUCAAACCCAAGGUUUUAAAUUAGAAUCAAUCACCCUAUGUCUGGAUUCACUAAGGUUCAGGAUCUUCAUGUCCCCAUGCAGAAGGAAUUCAGCGAGAGACAAAGUGAUAGGCAAGAAAUACAGUUAUUAGGAUAGGACGCUUGUGAGAGAUGCAAGCAUCCUGGCAAGGAGGCUCUGCCCUGAGGAGCUGGUGGGUUAGUUUUGUCAUCCAAGGGGAGUCAGGGUUGGACAAGCCUGCCUUUUCCUUUCCGGGAGUAGCAGCUCCUCCUUGGUAUCAGGUAAGGUGUGUGUUCAAAUCAGCAGAAGGGAGGUCCUCAAACUCCAUCCCUUGGUCUGAAUCUGAAUGCAGGCCUCAUCCCAUCUCCCAUCCAAUGACCUGAGGCAAUUCUCGCACUUGUACUAGUCAAGCAAGCCUGCCUUGUUCUGAUGACUUUUCUGAGCAAUUUAUUAACUUACAGUGAUCUCCCAGGGUUCCCUAAAUUUCCCUGGUUAUCUGUGGUCCUUUGCUGGGACUUCUAAAACCACCUGUGCCUACUCCAUCCCUGUCAAAAUUAGGACUUAAAUCCGGGAGGCAGCAUUUGAGGUAGCCGUGGGAAACUUCUCAGAGGAGGAAGCUAGAAUAUGAGUUUUUGCCACAAAGGGAAGGUAGUAGGAACAAAAGAUUUACAGACAACCAGAUUUACCUGAAGAGAUUUAUAGAAAACCAGUUUCUAUGGGAAGAUGUAAGUGUCCGGGCUUACUGGAAUCACUUCUUUGAUAUGCACCUCAGCGGUGGGCCAGUCUUCUCUGUUUCUUUCCUAGGUUCUGCUGGGGACAUGGCCUGGAUUGUCAGUGUCGAAAAAUGAAACACAUGAACACAGGGAGAUCUUGACAAGGCUCUUUAUUUCUGCGGAAGGGCGCACGCGUGUGCUCAAAAAGCCCGCGCACUGAACAAAGGACCCUCCCUUGUUUAAUCCCUAAUGCAGGUGACUUAUCUGUUCCCUUCCCAUUGGUCAGGUCCAGGUGCACUUUCUUCCCGGUUGGCUAAUUGAAACAAAUUGUUGCUGGGAAAAGAGUAAAGAGGAAGGGGAUCGCAGGGGGUGUUUCAUUGGAAACUGGAGCAAAAUAGAGUAACCAAGAUUUCCUUUGAUAGAAAAGAUGUUACGUUGCUUUCCACAGUUCCCUCAAGGCUCACUGGUCCACUCUUGGGAGUGGCUGUUCUCACAGCUGACCAUGAUAUCUUUAGUUUUGUCCACUUAACUACAGCUCAGUCUAUCAGUUUAGCUCUGAAAUACUGCCCCAAAGAGGAUAGGGGGAAUAUCAAGUUAUAAAUCAUGAAGGUGAAGGGGGAGGUGCAUGCAGCCAUGCACACGUUUUACAGACAAACGUUUGCUGCUGGUCUCAUGAAAGUUACUACUAGUCACAGGCAUCAGUCAUCAUUAAAGGAUUUUAAUGUUUUCCUAGAUAUGAGGAGUUGUAAGAUUUGGGGUCAUAAAAUCUCCUAAAAAUAUGUAACUAUCUGAAGACUUGUUCUUCCAGUUUUUCUAGAACACAGAGUACCUCAUUCUGGUCUCCACCCCAAGCUCCUCCGCUCAGGUGGUGCUGCAGGUCAGCAGCUGUAGCGGCUCAUGUUUUACUCCAUGUAGAGGCUGAUGGCAAGUGCCAAACUUUAGUUCACAUGAGCUACAUUUUGGGCUGUUGCUCGCAUUUGUGAUGAACCUGCUCUUGUUUUUGUGAAGUCGACUUUGAAGGGAAGCUAUCUGUUGUAGCUCAGGAGUAAAUUUGCAAUUCUCUCUCAGCUGCCCUUAAAGUGCUUUGAAAUUCUCUAUAAGUCAUACUGUCCAACAGAGUGGCAAUGUUUCCAACUAGUGCUUUGGAUGGCAGAAUUGUCCAGUCAACACUGACGCCCUGUGUUGUAGAAUUCCCAGAAAUCACCUCAGAGGACACUCGAGGAAGAUGAAGAAUAGCUUUAUUAUGCCGGCGGGUCCACAGGAAAUCGAUUCCCAAUCAUGGACCCUGAACAGAAAAGGAGAGAUACAUUUACAGUGCUUGCUUAUGUGUCUAACAUGCUACAUUAACCUUUAGUUACAUGCAGGAUACAGAAAGAGGUAUAGCUGUACAAAAUGCCUUAUAUUGUUACUUUAAUGAUUAACCUUAAGUACAAUCUAGCUGUUUUUGAAUUUAUUUAGAACAAUCCCUGUGGGAGUUUCUCAAGUCCUAAUGACUUUGUUUUUCUCAGAGCCCUCCUAUGAGUCACCUUAAGUUCACCAAGAUGGACAGUGGCAGCAAGAUGGCUUCACUCUUGCCAAGCUCCCUAUUCCCUUUUUCACACCCCUGCACCUGUGCUUCUGAAAUGGAGUUUUAGCUAAAGAACAACCCCCCCUUGGCUAAGAAGGCAGCUGCAAGCCUUUCCAGCUGUGCUAAUCACUAUGCCACCCUUCUUGUAAUAAUGUAACAACUGUGUGCUCUCUGUCCAAGCCAGCAGCCCUGCUAAUCAGGUACCCAGCAUUGCUUAUCAGUUCUGCUUCUGUAACCUUGCUUGCUCAGUUUCUUAGGGAGGAACACUGUCUGCUUGGGGAUGGGGGAGGUCCGGGAUGCUUACAUGGGAAAAUCAAGACCUUGUAGUGUAUAAAAGUUACUGAGAACAAAGACCUGGUGCUCAGACUCUGGAGGUGACUCCUCUGAGCCCGCACCGGUGCUGAAUAAACCUUGCUUUUCC
rnacentral:lncRNA from 1 species